rnacentral:misc_RNA from 1 species
GAUGAAGAACGUAGCGAAAUGCAAUAAGUAAUGUGAAUUGCAGAAUUCAGUGAAUCAUCGAAUCUUUGAACGCACAUUGCGCCCGCCAGUAUUCUGGCGGGCAUGCCUGUUCGAGCGUCAUUUCAACCAUCAAGCCCCCGGCUUGUGUUGGGGACCUGCGGCUGCCGCAGGCCCUGAAAACCAGUGGCGGGCUCGCUGUCACACCGAGCGUAGUAGAUUUUCAUCUCGCUCAGGGCGUGCUGCGGGUUCCGGCCGUAAAAAGCCUUAUUUACCCAAGGUUGACCUCGGAUCAGGUAGGAAGACCCGCUGAACUUAAGCAUAUCAAUAAGCGGAGGA